rnacentral:rRNA from 1 species
GGGGUAGAGUUCUUCGGAACUUGAGACCGGCGCACGGAUGCGUAACGCGUAUGCAAUCUACCUUUUACAGAGGGAUAGCCCAGAGAAAUUUGGAUUAAUACCUCAUAGUAUAUAGCCCUGGCAUCAGGAUUAUAUUAAAGUCACAACGGUAAAAGAUGAGCAUGCGUCCCAUUAGCUAGUUGGUAAGGUAACGGCUUACCAAGGCUACGAUGGGUAGGGGUCCUGAGAGGGAGAUCCCCCACACUGGUACUGAGACACGGACCAGACUCCUACGGGAGGCAGCAGUGAGGAAUAUUGGACAAUGGGCGCAAGCCUGAUCCAGCCAUGCCGCGUGCAGGAUGACGGUCCUAUGGAUUGUAAACUGCUUUUAUACGAGAAGAAACACUCCAACGUGUUGGAGCUUGACGGUAUCGUAAGAAUAAGGAUCGGCUAACUCCGUGCCAGCAGCCGCGGUAAUACGGAGGAUCCAAGCGUUAUCCGGAAUCAUUGGGUUUAAAGGGUCCGUANGCGGUUUAAUAAGUCAGUGGUGAAAGCCCAUCGCUCAACGGUGGAACGGCCAUUGAUACUGUUAAACUUGAAUUAUU